rnacentral:lncRNA from 1 species
UAGCAGAUGAUAUUUGAUUACACUUCUCUAGCAAGGCGCCACUUUCAUAACUCAAAUUUCAAUUUUCUUAUACGUUUAUGAAACCAAAACCAAUAUCAUUGUUUUACUGUUAGUUUCUAGUUUCUAAAUCAAUGUCAUCGUUUUAGCCAGGUAUAAUUGCGAAACUCAAUUGUAAUGGAGUUAUGUGCAACUUCAUCAAGAGAUGUGGCUCCCGAGGAGCAAUCACAAAUAGAACUAGCAUCCGCCUUAAAGCAAUGUGAAAAGUUAUUGAUGAAUGACAGUCUCAUCCCCAAGACAAUAAGUUUGUAUGUUUUUUACCUCAGCAACAGAGGCAAUGUUGAAGGAAUUGUACUUUCGAAUUUUGGACAUGAUUGGGGAAAUGAAAUUAGUUGAGGAAGAAGAAUGAGUCUUGGCAAAUGAAGAGGAUGAGAAGUCUGAUACUACUGCAGAAGAGAUCAGUACGUCUGAUUCUGAUUAUUUGGAAUCUCCGUAGAAAAAAGGAUAAAGUUUUAUUUCUUUGGAACAAAAAAGAAAAGCC